rnacentral:lncRNA from 1 species
AUCCUGAGAGUCACCUGUGCUGCUGGAAGUAGGAAGUGUCACUCCCAUUUCACUCCCCACAGCUGUGUUGUUGGGAAUUGCUCAAGAUUUUAUUUUUGAUGAUCAACUUUGGGAGAUAAAAUGAAAACAAAUGAGGCCAGGAACCAAGCACGUCUGGGUGGCGUUUGGAAGAGGCAUACAGGGACAUAGAGGCAUGGUUUCCCACCGACUGAGAUGAAGCUUCUCUUCCUAACAUCCUUCCACAGAAAGCAGAUAGCCAAAAGAUAUUUUUGACUGAAUGGAUGGAGGAAGAUGAGGAGUGAAGACCCCAAUUUCUUUCCCCUCAUAACGAAGUCAAAAGGGGACUCCAUUAU